CCUUGUUCGGCGACAGCAGCAGCGGCACCAGCCGCUUCCGCCGCAGCGUCACCGCGUGCAGCGCCGAGGUGAGCAUGGCUGAGAAGUUGGGCGUGAUGUCGAUCACCUUCCCGCGGGGCGCCAUCAGCGGCUCGAACGCCGGCCACCCGACGCCGACGGUGCAGUGCACGACGCCGUCGUACCUCCUCCCCGAGGGGCUGCGCAUGGCGGCGCCCUCGGGCGUCCGGUAGUCCAGCACCUCGUCGGCGCCCAGGCCCCUCACGAGCUCCGCGUUGCGGGCGCCGCAGGUGGCCGUCACGUGGAGGUUCGCCAGCUUGGCCAGCUGCACGGCGUAGAGGCCCACGCCGCCCGAGGCGGCGGUGACCAGCACGUUCAGCGGCUCGCCGGUGCCGUCGAACUUGGCGCCGAUGGACCUCAGCGCCUGCAGCGCCGUGCCCGCCGCGAUGGGCAGCCCGGCGCCCUCGGCCGCUGAGACGUUGGGUGUCCUCUUGACGGUCAGGUUCGCUGCCGCCACGGCGUACUCUGCCAAUCCACCUCCGUUCU
rnacentral:sRNA from 1 species